rnacentral:rRNA from 1 species
UACGUAGGGUGCAAGCGUUAAUCGGAAUUACUGGGCGUAAAGCGUACGCAGGCGGCUUUGCAAAACAGGUGUGAAAUCCUCGGGCCUAACCUGGGAACUGCAUUUGUGACUGCAUGGCUAGAGUUUGUCAGAGGGGGGGUGGAAUUCCACGUGUAGCAGUGAAAUGCGUAGAUAUGUGGAGGAACACCGAUGGCGAAGGCAGCCCCCUGGGAUGUGACUGACGCUCAUGUACGAAAGCGUGGGGAGCAAACAGG